rnacentral:sRNA from 1 species
AUGUACCCUCGUACGCUACGGUUCCUCCGCGCCGUCCGCACCCACCUGACGACUGCUCGCUACGUUUUGUUAGCC